GAAAAUCCGUCGAAUUUAAAAAUCGUGAGGUCCCUCUAUCCCCA
rnacentral:tRNA from 1 species